UGCUAUUCCAUUGGUUCUACAGUGCUCGGCAAGCUCAACUAAGUGUAACAAAUACAGCUACCUGUCUUUUGCUCCCCCACCUCCAAGAGUGUUUCUCUAACUGAACGAUGACUGCGCUGGCGGUGAAGGUGGAGUCUGCUCCCGGUCUGAACCCCGGUCAGCUGACCCUGAGCGACCCCGCCUGGGGUCCCACCUACAGCGACGAUCGCUUCCACUUCACUGUGAACUCCUGUGGCACCACCAGGAAGGUUAAAGGUUUCCUGCUACUAUGUGGUUAACAUCACUCGCACAUUGGCCUUCCUGACCAGGCCGCGUGACAACGAGCCUUUUGCAGAGACUGGGACGGGUUAACUAAUGUUCAGAAUGAGACUCGUUCAGGACGUCUCGUAUAACACGUUCCACCAGGAGGAGGACUAUCCAGUGGUGAGGUACCUGAGACAGCCUUUGCACUUUGAGGUGGAGCUGACCACGUCCUCUGACCCCAAGGUAGCGCUGGUGCUUGACCACUGCUGGGCCACCCUCAACGAGGACCGCGACUCCCGACCCCGUUGGAAUCUCAUCAUUAAUGGGUAACUUGUUGUUUUAGGGCCUAAACAAGUGUUAUUCCACAGGUGUGGUUCCUGAGUAAUUAGCAACCUAUCAUGCUUGGC